CCUACGGGAGGCAGCAGUAAGGAAUAUUGGUCAAUGGACGAAAGUCUGAACCAGCCAUGCCGCGUGAAGGAUUAAGGCCCUCUGGGUUGUAAACUUCUUUUAUCUGGGACGAAAAAAGGGUAUUCUUACUCACUUGACGGUACCAGAGGAAUAAGCACCGGCUAACUCCGUGCCAGCAGCCGCGGUAGUACGGAGGGUGCAAGCGUUAUCCGGAUUUACUAGGUUUAAAGGGUGCGUAGGUGGGCUUGUAAGUCAGUGGUGAAAUCUCCGGGCUUAACCCGGAAACUGCCAUUGAUACUAUAGGUCUUGAAUUAUCUGGAGGUAAGCGGAAUAUGUCAUGUAGCGGUGAAAUGCUUAGAUAUGACAUAGAACACCAAUUGCGAAGGCAGCUUACUACGGAUACAUUGACACUGAGGCACGAAAGCGUGGGGAUCAAACAGGAUUAGAUACCCUGGUAGUCCACGCCCUAAACGAUGGAUACUCGACAUCAGCGAUACACUGUUGGUGUCUGAGCGAAAGCAUUAAGUAUCCACCUGGGAAGUACGAUCGCAAGAUUGAAACUCAAAUAGAGUAGAGCGNGAGAGAGCGACGACGACGACGAGGGAGGAGG
rnacentral:rRNA from 1 species